UCCAAUUUCUCAUUCAAUCUUACGUGCAGUCAAAGAAACAUCGCAUUCUCUCUCUCGACUCAACGAAUGAAGUGAAAUGGCGGCAACUUUCGUCGACCUUAGCUUCUCUGCCGAUCAUCACAUCGACUGCUUCCGGUUCGUCGACAACUUCCAAUCUCUCCUUAAAUCGACGGCGACAGCUUCUGGUUCGUCGACAUCUUCUGACUUCUGCAAAGGUAAGCAACAUCAGCAACAUCAGGUAAGCAAUGAAGACUGGAACAGCCUCUAAAAUCGUAUGUUCUUUCUAAAAUCCUUUGUUCUUUCUGCAACAACAGGUAAACAAUGAUUUUUUUUUUUAUAAAUGUUUGUUCUUUCUUCAUCUUUCUAAAAUCGGUUGUUGUUUCUUCAUCUUUUUUGAUUGUUGGUUGGAUUUAUGUCUUGGUUGUAACAGGUUGGGCAGAAGGGUAUUUGAUUCAGGUAAUUUCUUGACCAAUAUCUUUAAUCGUUUUGUGUAUGAAACCAUAUGCCCACCAAGUGUUCGAACAAUUGCCUGAGUGAAGGGUAUUUGGAUUCUUGUAAUUUCUUGACUAAAAUUAUGGUCCCUUGAUCAUCUGUGAAGUUAUCAAGAACCAUGGAUUGAAGAUGUAGGUGGUUUGGUUCUAGUUCUCGGUUGUUUAUGGUGUGAAGUUAUCAAGAACCAUCGUUUGGUUCUAGCAAAGUUAAUUCCAAGUGCAGGUUUCGGAAGCUCUGGUGGGACCUCUUCAGCAGGCAAAUCACUUCCCAUUGCUCAUUAGGGAAUCCAUACAGACACAGGAUCCUGCACUCCUUGAAUUCGCAUGGAUUGAGCUUCAUCGAUUAAUGUAUAAAUAUGCACAUGGACUCUUUGACUGAAAAGCCAUGUUGUAAAUUCAAUUAAUGCAUUGCUUCCAUGGAAAACUUCACUUCAACACUUUGACAUUUUACAAGUUGAAGUUACAUUUAUUUUCUUGACAGGAUUUUUCAUAUUCAUUUUUAAACUUUAAAAUGAUUUUGUGUCAUUCUUAAACUUAUUAUUAAACUUUUAUGCAUAUUUUGGAUGAUAAA